UGUAUUGUUUAUAAACAUUUUUUUUUCGACCAAUCGCAACCGUUUUCUAUUCAAGAUUUUUUUAAACAGCGGUAUAAAAUGUAAAGCGCAUUUUCGGAGUCGUGAUUUGAGGUGUAUCAAGCUAAGAUGACGGGUAAGUUUUUAACUUAAGACGCAAAUCUUUUUUUUCUCUUUCUGGUUUAACAUCUUUAUUUUCAGACGCUAUUGUCAUAUCGGACGUCGAGUGGGAAGAAAUUCCUAUAGAGGAAUUAACUUGUAAAACACCGGUACCUUUUCACCUGGAUGAUUUGUCUAAAAUUAACCGUGCGGUCGACAAUCUGAAAAAGGAGGGGGUUCAACCUUACCCCGGAAGUGAUAACUUUUACCCAACCAUGCCUCCAUCCACCAGCCGAACCGUCUUACAUUCGAAUCAGCCCAGCCAGACCGUCAGAUCACAAGCGAACGCGAAAGCUGUUCGUUACAGGACCAUCACACCACAGACGAUCCUCGAAGCUGAGCAACGGCCGACGGCCUACGCACCCCCAAUAUCUCAGCCCCCACCACCUCCACCCCCUUCUACUGCGCAGACGGAUGAACAACAUCCGACAGCCGCUUCAAUAUCUCUGCCCACACCUCCUCCUCCUCCUCCCCCUUCUCCUGCACAGGAUCAAUCCGACAGCGACUCUGAAACCGCUGAACGUGUUCCUGAGCAGCCAGCCGGUAAGCUGUUUCACAAAACCGCUCCGCAGCGUAUAUUAAAUUUUGAAGUAAAAAAUAUGAUGCUUUUUAUCCUUUCAGAUGAAGAGGAAGAGAACGCCCCACCUCCUGCACCUGUACAGAAAAAACGAUUGAAGAAGAAGAAGCGGGGCAGAUUUACGCCACUUCAGCGAUUAAACAGGAUGAAAAUGGGCUACCUGCUCCUACAAGUGAACUCCGGCCUGGUGGAUGUGGUGCAACAAGUUCUGGCUCUGUAAAGGAGGACGCAGAUUUUUUUCUUCAUUUUUAGUAGGUUUUUAAUGUAUUUUGUAUCAUGAGUGAAAAUUGGUUUGAUGACCUUUCAGAUUUGUUUGAAGUAGAUGAUGAAUUAAACGUAGAUGAUGAAUUAUUAGAUAGAAUUUUAGCCAGCCAAAAUCCCUCAGAGGAGGAGGCCGAUAAUUUGGUGUUAACUGACUGGUUUGAUGUAAGCGGACUGAGUGAAGUAGAUGAAUUAGCUUCAGAUAGUGAGAUUUUAGCAUCCCAAGCCGUUUCAAACGAGGUCGAUCAAAUUCUAGCAAAUUCAGAU
rnacentral:lncRNA from 1 species